CAGCCGCCACGGUAAUACGGAGGGUGCAAGCGUUAAUCGGAAUUACUGGGCGUAAAGCGCACGCAGGCGGUCUGACAAGUCAGAUGUGAAAUCCCCGGGCUUAACCUGGGAACUGCAUUUGAAACUGGCAGGCUAGAGUCUUGUAGAGGGGGGUAGAAUUCCAGGUGUAGCGGUGAAAUGCGUAGAGAUCUGGAGGAAUACCGGUGGCGAAGGCGGCCCCCUGGACAAAGACUGACGCUCAGGUGCGAAAGCGUGGGGAGCAAACAGGAUUAGAUACCCGGGUAGUCCCUGUCUCUUUAAA
rnacentral:rRNA from 1 species